CUGUGAGCUCAUUUACAUACAAGGGCUGGGUCAGAUCUGUGCAGGGAUUUAAUAGGGAUCCUGAUAGGAGAUACAGUACCAUAGUAGCAGAGCAAUCCUGUACUGAACCAUGUCCUGGGCUGUCCUCCUCCUCUCUCUCACCUCUCUCUGUACAUAUUCGGCCGCCCAAGUCUCUGUAACUCAGCCAGUGUCUGAAUCAGUGAAAUUGGGGGAGACAGUGAGAAUCUCCUGCACACUCAGUUACAGUAUCAGUGAUCGCUAUGUGUACUGGCUUCAGCAGAAAGCAGGGAAUCGCCCCAGAUACUUACUGUGGUUUAAUUCUGACUCAAGCAAACACCAGGGAGCUGGGGUACCUGAUCGGUUCUCUGGAUCCAAAGAUUCCCCUAAUAAUGUUGGCUAUUUAACCAUUAAAGGAGCCUUACUAGAAGAUGAUGCAGAUUAUUACUGUGCUGUAUGGCAUCCUCCAUCCAGCUCGUUGCACAGUGGUGUAUUGCUGUGAGGAACUGAAACAAAAAUUCAUAUACAGCUUUUUUAACAUCACUUCAAAUGAUGCAAUUAAAUAAAGGAAAGUCACAUUUUUUUUUGUUGCAAAAAUACAGUAAAGGCAUUUGUGUAUUUAGUCAAUAAACCAAAGUUAUACAGAAGGUCCAUAGCAAUAUAUGGUCAUAAACCAAUUAGUACAUGAAACCCUGAACAUA